rnacentral:rRNA from 1 species
CCUAGGGGAGGCAGCAGUGGGGAAUAUUGGACAAUGGGGGGAACCCUGAUCCAGCCAUGCCGCGUGUGUGAAGAAGGCCCUCGGGUUGUAAAGCACUUUCAGUGAGGAAGAACGCCUGGUGGUUAAUACCCAUCAGGAAAGACAUCACUCACAGAAGAAGCACCGGCUAACUCCGUGCCAGCAGCCGCGGUAAUACGGAGGGUGCGAGCGUUAAUCGGAAUUACUGGGCGUAAAGCGCGCGUAGGUGGCUUGAUAAGCCGGUUGUGAAAGCCCCGGGCUCAACCUGGGAACGGCAUCCGGAACUGUCAAGCUAGAGUGCAGGAGAGGAAGGUAGAAUUCCCGGUGUAGCGGUGAAAUGCGUAGAGAUCGGGAGGAAUACCAGUGGCGAAGGCGGCCUUCUGGACUGACACUGACACUGAGGUGCGAAAGCGUGGGUAGCAAACAGGAUUAGAUACCCCUGUAGUC